rnacentral:rRNA from 1 species
UACGUAGGGGGCUAGCGUUGUCCGGAAUUACUGGGCGUAAAGAGCUCGUAGGUGGUUUGUCGCGUUGUUCGUGAAAACCGGGGGCUUAACCCUCGGCGUGCGGGCGAUACGGGCAGACUUGAGUACUGCAGGGGAGACUGGAAUUCCUGGUGUAGCGGUGAAAUGCGCAGAUAUCAGGAGGAACACCGGUGGCGAAGGCGGGUCUCUGGGCCGAUACUGACGCUGAGGAGCGAAAGCGUGGGGAGCGAACAGG